ensembl:snRNA U1 U1 spliceosomal RNA
AUACUUGCUUGGUGGGGGAGAUACCAUGAUCACAAGAGUGGUUUUCCAGGGUGAGGCUCGUCCAUUGCAGUCAGGAUGUGCUGACCCCAGUGAUUUCCCCAAAUGUGGGAAACUCAACUGCAUGAUUUAUGGUAGUGGGAGACUGUUCAUGUUCUCCCC